rnacentral:rRNA from 1 species
AGCGAACGCUGGCGGCAGGCCUAACACAUGCGAGUCGAACGAACUCUUCGGAGUUAGUGGCGGACGGGUGAGUAACACGUGGGAACGUGCCUUUAGGUUCGGAAUAACUCAGGGAAACUUGUGCUAAUACCGAAUGUGCCCUUCGGGGGAAAGAUUUAUCGCCUUUAGAGCGGCCCGGGGGUGAUUAGCUAGUUGGUGAGGUAAAGGCUCAACAAGGCGACGAUCGGUAGCUGGUCUGAGAGGAUGAUCGGCCACAGUGGGACUGAGACACGGCCCAAACGGCGACGGGAGGGAGCAGUGGGGAAUAGUGCAAUAUGGGCGGAAGCCUGAUGCAGCAACGCCGCGUGCGGGAAGACGGCAGUCGGGUUGUAAACCGCUGUCGCCUGUGACGAAGCGUGAGUGACGGGAAUGGGUAAAGAAGCACCGGCUAACUACGUG